rnacentral:sRNA from 1 species
GCCGAGCAUGGUGGUGUAUACCUGUAAUCCCAGCUGCUUGGGAGGCUGAGACAGGAGGAUACUGAGUUCAAAGCCAACCUCAGAAACUGCGAAGUGCUAAGCAACUCAGUGAGACUUUGUCUCUA